rfam:Myotis lucifugus cont2.5112, whole genome shotgun sequence.
GGUGGUUCUUGGUGAAGCACCCGAAAUCAGGCUCCCUUCUCUCUGGUUCCGUGUGUGUCACCUGAGAACCGCA